CGCGCGACCUAUACCCGG
rnacentral:snRNA from 1 species